rnacentral:SRP_RNA from 1 species
GGGGGGUCACGUGGCCUGGAGGUCACGUGACCUCAGCGGGAAAAAUUUUCCGCUAAAUUUAGCGGGGAAAAUUUUCCGCUAAAUUUAGCGGGGAAAAUUUUCCGCUAGGUUUAGCGGGAAAAAUUUUCCGCUAAAUUUAGCGGGGAAAAUUUUCCGCUAAAUUUAGCGGGGAAAAUUUUCCGCUAGAUUUAGCGGGGAAAUUUUUCCGCUA